GGACUACAGGGGUAUCUAAUCCCGUUCGCUCCCCUAGCUUUCGCGUCUCAGUGUCAGUUAGCGGCCAGAAAGUCGCCUUCGCCACUGGUGUUCCUCCCGAUAUCUACGCAUUUCACUACUACACCGGGAAUUCCACUUUCCUCUCCGCCACUCUAGCCGCGCAGUAUUGAUUGCAGUUCCUCGGUUGAGCCGAGGGAUUUCACAACCAACUUACGCAACCACCUACACGCGCUUUACGCCCAGUAAAUCCGGAUAACGCUUGGCCCCUACGUAUUACCGCGGCUGCUGGCAC
rnacentral:rRNA from 1 species